rnacentral:rRNA from 1 species
GUGGGGAAUAUUGGACAAUGGGCGAAAGCCUGAUCCAGCCAUGCCGCGUGUGUGAAGAAGGUCUUCGGAUUGUAAAGCACUUUAAGUUGGGAGGAAGGGCAGUAAGUUAAUACCUUGCUGUUUUGACGUUACCGACAGAAUAAGCACCGGCUAACUUCGUGCCAGCAGCCGCGGUAAUACGAAGGGUGCAAGCGUUCAUCGGAAUUACUGGGCGUAAAGCGCGCGUAGGUGGUUUUGUAAGUUGGAGGUGAAAUCCCCGGGCUAAACCUGGAGACUGCCUCCAAAACUGCAUGACUAGAGUACGGUAGAGGGUAGUGGAAUUUCCUGUGUAGCGGUGAAAUGCGUAGAUAUAGGAAGGAACACCAGUGGCGAAGGCGACUACCUGGACUGAUACUGACACUGAGGUGCGAAAGCGUGGGGAGCAAACAGGAUUAGAAACCCUAGUAGUCC